GUCGGGUAAGUUCCGACCCGCACGAAAGGCGUAACGAUUUGGGCACUGUCUCAACAACAGACUCGGUGAAAUUGUAAUUCCGGUGAAGAUGCCGGAUACCGGCGACAGGACGGAAAGACCCCAUGGAGCUUUACUGUAGCUUGACAUUGGGUCUUGGUACUACAUGUACAGGAUAGGUGGGAGGCUUUGAAACCAGGACGCCAGUUUUGGCGGAGCCAUCCUUGGGAUACCACCCUUGUAGUACUGGGACUCUAACCAUAGGCCAUGAAUCUGGUCUUGGGACACUGUCAGGUGGGCAG
rnacentral:rRNA from 1 species